GUAUCACAGCAGCACAUAUACUAAAAUUGGAAGGAUACAGAGAAGAUUAGCACGGCCCCUGCGCAAGGAAAACUUCAGUUUUAAAUUUACCUUUA
rnacentral:snRNA from 1 species